rnacentral:piRNA from 1 species
UGGGCAGUAGCCGUGAAGACUCUUCUUUUC